UACAGAGGUCCCAAGCGUUGUUCGGAUUCACUGGGCGUAAAGGGUGCGUAGGUGGUGAGGUAAGUCGGAUGUGAAAUCUCCAGGCUCAACCUGGAAAUGGCAUUGGAAACUACCUUGCUAGAGGGUUUGAGGGGGGACUGGAAUACUUGGUGUAGCAGUGAAAUGCGUAGAUAUCAAGUGGAACACCAAUGGCGAAGGCAGCUCUCUGGGACGGUACUGACGCUGAGACGCGAAAGCGUGGGGAGCGAACAGG
rnacentral:rRNA from 1 species